rnacentral:rRNA from 1 species
GACGAACGCUGGCGGCGUGCUUAACACAUGCAAGUCGAGCGAUGAAAGCCUUAUGAACUAUUCGUAGUGAUUGGGGCCGGAUUAGCGGCGGACGGGUGAGUAACGCGUGAGCAACCUGCCUUAAACAACGGGAUAGCCUCGGGAAACCGGGAUUAAUACCGUAUGAGACCCCGCCUUCACAUGAAGAAGAGGUUAAAGAUUUAUCGGUUUAAGAUGGGCUCGCGUCUGAUUAGCUAGUUGGUGAGAUAAAAGCCCACCAAGGCAACGAUCAGUAACCGGCUUGAGAGAGUGAACGGUCACAUUGGAACUGAGACACGGUCCAAACUCCUACGGGAGGCAGCGGUGGGGAAUAUUGCACAAUGGGGGAAACCCUGAUGCAGCGACGCCACGUGAGCGAUGAAGGAAUUCGUUUCGUAAAGCUCUGUCCAAGGGGAAGAUAAUGACAGUACCCUUGGAGGAAGCCCCGGCUAAAUACGUGCCAGCCGCCGCAGUAAGAC